rnacentral:rRNA from 1 species
UACGUAGGUCCCGAGCGUUGUCCGGAUGUAUGGGGCGUAAAGCGAGCGCAGGUGGUUUAAUAAGUCUGAUGUAAAAGGCAGUGGCUCAACCAUUGUGUGCAUUGGAAACUGUUAGACUUGAGUGCAGUAGAGGAGAGUGGAAUUCCAUGUGUAGCGGUGAAAUGCGUAGAUAUAUGGAGGAACACCGGUGGCGAAAGCGGCUCUCUGGACUGUAACUGACACUGAGGCUCGAAAGCGUGGGUAGCAAACAGG